AGUGAACGCUGGCGGUAGGCCUAACACAUGCAAGUCGAACGGCAGCACAGUAAGAGCUUGCUCUUACGGGUGGCGAGUGGCGGACGGGUGAGGAAUAGAUCGGAAUCUACUUUUUCGUGGGGGAUAACGUAGGGAAACUUACGCUAAUACCGCAUACGACCUACGGGUGAAAGCAGGGGAUCUUCGGACCUUGCGCGAUUGAAUGAGCCGAUGUCGGAUUAGCUAGUUGGCGGGGUAAAGGCCCACCAAGGCGACGAUCCGUAGCUGGUCUGAGAGGAUGAUCAGCCACACUGGAACUGAGACACGGUCCAGACUCCUACGGGAGGCAGCAGUGGGGAAUAUUGGACAAUGGGCGCAAGCCUGAUCCAGCCAUACCGCGUGGGUGAAGAAGGCCUUCGGGUUGUAAGGCCCUUUUGUUGGGAAAGAAAAGCAGCAGGUUAAUACCCCGCUGUUCUGACGGUACCCAAAGAAUAAGCACCGGCUAACUUCGUG
rnacentral:rRNA from 1 species